GCCUUAGUAGCUCAGCGUU
rnacentral:tRNA from 1 species